ensembl:rRNA 5S_rRNA 5S ribosomal RNA
GUCUAUGGCCAUACCACCCUGAACGUGCCUGAUCUCGUCUGAUCGCAAAAGCGAAGCAGGGUUGGGCCUGCUUAAUACUUGGAUGGGAGAGGAUGAUUCAGUAAUGAAUCCAGUACCUAUUUACU